rnacentral:rRNA from 1 species
GAGUUUGAUCCUGGCUCAGAUUGAACGCUGGCGGCAUGCCUUACACAUGCAAGUCGAACGGCAGCAUGAUCUAGCUUGCUAGAUUGAUGGCGAGUGGCGAACGGGUGAGUAAUACAUCGGAACGUGCCCUGUAGUGGGGGAUAACUAGUCGAAAGAUUAGCUAAUACCGCAUACGACCUGAGGGUGAAAGUGGGGGACCGCAAGGCCUCAUGCUAUAGGAGCGGCCGAUGUCUGAUUAGCUAGUUGGUGGGGUAAAGGCCCACCAAGGCGACGAUCAGUAGCUGGUCUGAGAGGACGAUCAGCCACACUGGGACUGAGACACGGCCCAGACUCCUACGGGAGGCAGCAGUGGGGAAUUUUGAACAAUGGGCGAAAGCCUGAUCCAGCAAUGUCGCGUGUGUGAAGAAGGCCUCGGUUGUAAG